GGAUCAGAGUGGGCCAGGGGGACAGGGCCCUCCCAGUUUUUGAAAGUGGAUCGGCCUAGCCUGUCCACUUUUCACCGGGGUGGACCCCACCUCCUUCCCCUUCUCUUCCCCCCUGAG